rnacentral:rRNA from 1 species
UAGGAAAGUUGCAAAGAACUUUGAAGAGAGAGUUCAAGAGUGCGUGAAACUGCUUAGAAGCAAACAGGUGGAGCUGAAGUGUCAGUCGGCUGGAUUCAGUCUGGUGCUGGGCAGGGAGGUGGAGAGGGACUUGCGCCCGAUCUGCCGCUAUCACCUACCCUCACUGGGCGCUUUUCCGGCCGACGUGCACUGGGACUGGUGGUGGUGCUCGCGGAAAUCGUGGAGAGCCGUCCUGYGCCUUGUGCGCGGGUGCCCUUUCCAYGGUGGAAGUGCAGUCACUGCUACUGGCCUCGCGGCGCCCGCCAAGCUCGGUAGUGUGGAUUCAUCGCUCAGUCUGCCUUCGAGGUGCUUGCACCUUCUGUGCGGCUCUGUGUCGAAGAAGCGCUAUCCGAGUGGGCGUCGUUCCCAGUGUAACCGUCAGCCACCCACCUGACCCGUCUUGAAACACGGACCAAGGAGUCUAACAUGUGCGCGAGUUACUGAGAGCACAUUCUCAAAGGCGUAAUGAAGGUAAAAGUCGAUUCCAAUCGACUAACGGACGACCGCAGGAUCCACUCCCUGUGAUCAGUCCGGUCCCGUCUUCUCUGCAUUGUCAGUGAGGCGGAGACAGAGCGUACACGUUGGGACCCGAAAGAUGGUGAACUAUGCCUAAGCAGGACGAAGCCAGAGGAAACUCUGGUGGAGGCCCGCAACGAUUCUGACGUGCAAAUCGAUCGUCUGACUCGGGUAUAGGGGCGAAAGAHUAAUCGAACCAUCUAGUAGU